GUGAGGGGCUGGGCGAAAGGAAGGAGGGGAGAGGAUGGGGGUGGGGGGGACGCGCGCUCCAGGAGUGAAAGCAAACUGCUAGCUGUCGAGGCUUGCGGCAGUUCAGGCUUCCCAACAGGUUAGCUAGCCUAGGAUCCACCCGGUAUUUCGCAGGAGGGGGUGGGGGGGGAGCGGCGUUGAGAUAGCUAAAGGAGGGGAGAGCCUUCCUGGAGGACAGAGGGAGGGAGAGAAAGAG
rfam:Rattus norvegicus strain BN; Sprague-Dawley chromosome 6 CRA_213000034324538, whole genome shotgun sequence.